rnacentral:lncRNA from 1 species
AGAAAUAAGUCGAAACCCCCACCCUCACCUGUUUGGGCAUACGCACAGAAACCACGCAGAAGAAACAGACUGGGAACGAGGCAGCCUGUGCUGUAGCGACGGUUAGGACAUCUCAGUGGAAACUCCAUGUCUAAAGCGGGGAAUUACAUGUCCUCUUUGCCACCCAGCUGUGGUGGGACUGAUGCCGGGACUUGUGCAAAGUCCCGAGAUUCAGCAGGACCAUGACCGCAGCAGAGUCCGCGUCCUCUUGAAAGGAAGGUUUCCCUGCAGUGCAGGCUCUCCUCUAAUGGGGAGGCCGUCAUGCGAGGUGGGGAGCGCACCGCCAUGGCAGUGCCCAGGCAGAGCUGGGGAUGCUAUAUCUGGGUGCUGUAACAGAGAGAGAGAGACAGGCCGGGCCAGAUGAUGGCCAACACCUGUCUGCUCUGAAGCUCGUCUGAUUUCAUUAUUAAUUCCCCUGGGAGUGGGUUGAAUAAUGUCCCCCCAAAUUCAUGCCCACCCAGACCGCAGAAUAGGUCCUUAUUUGGAAACAGUGUCUUUGCAGAUGCAAUUAUUGAAUAGUUAAGAUGAAGUUGUGCUGAGUUUGAGUGCGCCCUCAAUCCGAUGACUGAGAUCCUUAUAAGAAAGGGAAGAGGAUGCAGAGACAAACCCACAUGGAGACAGAGGCAGAGACUGGAGCAAUGCUGCCACAAGCCAAGGAUGCCAAGCACCAUCGGCCGCAACCAGAAGCCAGAAGGGAGGCCUGGCAUGAUUUCUCCCUGGAGCCUUUGAUACAGCAGGCUGAUACCUUUUCACCUUCAGUACUGUGAGAGAAUACAUCUCUGUUGUUUUGCAGCCGGUGGUUUUGUGUGAUGGGAGCCCCGGGAAGCUGACACACCCUUUUGCUUUCACCCUGGGUUGUCUCUGUGGAGCCUCGGAAAAGGGAAGAAGCUCUCUUGACUUCAUCAUUGUUUUAAAGACCUUCAAGUCUAAUGGAAAAUUCUUGUUAUUUUUCAUGAUGCCGCAUCCCCCACCUUUUCCUUUUAAAAGUAUUUUAUGCUCACAACCAACGUUGUACCAUCCACAAACAUGUUAUUGUGAGUGCGGUUUGGAUGAAACUGUAAAGAGAGAGCAUGUGCUUCCGUCUUGGCCUUGGGAGCACAAAGCCAAGCACAGCAGUGCCUGGGUGCUCCCAGCUCUGCUUCCUCCCUGCUCCUCCACCAGCUCUGGCCAUGCAUCCCUCUUUCCUUUCUCCUCCUGUCUCCAGUCUCUGAACCUGCUUAAUUCACCUCUGACUGAAGGUGAUGAAGACAGCGGAAUGGGCAGAGCUCUAAGACGUGGCAUGGGUCCCACUCAAAACAAGCAGAUCUGAGAAGAUCGGGAAGGACCCAGCUGCCCCCGAGCGGGCCACGGCAUCUGUUCUGGGAGGCUCUUGGCUCUGACUGCCGCCCCUGGUUAUGAAAGUUGGAUGGUGCCUGGGAACCCUCUGCUGGCUCCUCUCAUGCAAUUUCCCAGGCCUUCUCAGCUCUCCCAAAGCAGCCGGGUUACCAAGCAGCCCAAAGAGUGAAAUGUGCUCGAUGUGGGCCAGGGAUCCUGAGCUGCCUGGAUCUCCCUCUGACAUUUCCCAGCCACGUGGGAGGAGAGAUGGGACGAUUUGCAAGUGGCUCACCCUCCUUUGGAGAAGAUAAAUGUCAGAACUGAAAGCAACUGGGUACUGAUAUAGAGCUGCCUGCUCUUAAAUAAAAUAUCAAGUCUGGAAGUGUGUGUGUGACA